rnacentral:rRNA from 1 species
CGCAUCUGUGCAUGCAGCAUAUCAAUAAGCGGAGGAAAAGAAACUAACAAGGAUUCCCCUAGUAACGGCGAGUGAAGCGGGAAGAGCUCAAAUUUGAAAUCUUAAAGGGUUUCCCUUUACGAAUUGUAGUUUAAAGAAGUGUUUUCUGUUGAGGUUUUGGUAAAAGUUCUUUGGAAUAGGACAUCAUAGAGGGUGAGAAUCCCGUAUUUGACCUUUACUUUCAACUUUGUGAUACACUUUCAAAGAGUCGGAUUGUUUGGGAAUGCAGUCCAAAAUGGGUGGUAAAUUUCAUCUAAAGCUAAAUAUCGGCGAGAGACCGAUAGCGAACAAGUACCGUGAGGGAAAGAUGAAAAGAACUUUGAAAAGAGAGUUAAACAGUACGUGAAAUUGUCAAAAGGGAAGCGUUUGACACCAGUGUUGUUUUUCUGAAAAUCAAUUAAAGAACUGUUUAUGCUAAGUUGUUUAGACUUUAUCAGCUAACUGUUUAGUUUUGAGCUUUUCUUUAAUGCACUUUUCAGUUAACAAGUCAACAUCAAUUUCUUUUGCUGUAAAAAAGCUUGAGGAAGGUGGCUUGAGAUUCGUCUUAAGUGUUUAUAGCCUCUUGCCUAUGCAGUCGGAGAGAUUGAGGUCUGCAGCGUAGAUCCUUCGGGGCUAAAUGCAUUUGUGCUAAGUUAUAGCAUUUUAUAGACAACUUGUUGACUAUGAUUUGUCUUGUAGCUUACUCGCUUAUGUUAUUUUACCUACGCUUAGGAUGUUGAACGCGCACAGAGUCUC